UUUUAGCCCUGAUGGGAGCGACAUCCUUUUUUUGGUUUUUUAGCCAGAAAAAGAUAUAGCGGACAGCAGGAAAUAGC
rnacentral:sRNA from 1 species